CAGAAUGCCAGAGUACUUGAAAGAUUAUGGUCUGAAGUAUUUGGGGAGCUGGUUAACAGACCUUUUCAGGAUUUCCAGUUGUUCACGUGCCACAUUAGAAGUUUGACAUUUACUCGUCUGGACGUGGACCAGGAUAAUGUCGUUGUCAGGUUCCAGCAGGGUUCAAGUCUUCAGUUUGAGUUCAGGAACCUGAGCUUCACU